rnacentral:rRNA from 1 species
UUAUUCAGUGAAUCUGCGGAUGGCUCAUUAAAACAGUUUGAAUCUAUUCGAUGGAUGUGCGAGAGUACUACAUGGAUACCCGUAGUAAUUCUAGAGCUAAUACAUGCAAGAACGCCCGACCUCACGGAAGGGUUGUAUUUAUUGGAUACCAAAACCAAACCGUACUUUCGGGUGCGGUUGCGUUUGUUGAUUCACAAUAACUGAUCGGACCGCUUCCCAGGAAGCGGUAGGUCGUUCGACAUUCUGCCCUAUCAGCUUUCGAUGGUAAUGUAGUGGAUUACCAUGGCCAUAACGGGUAACGGAGAAUCAGGGUUCGAUUCCGGAGAAGGAGCUUGAGAAUUGGCUACUACAUCUAAGGAAGGCAGCAGGCGCGCAAAUUACCCAAUCCUGACUCAGGGAGGUAGUGACAAAAAAUAACAAUACCGGCUCUUUUUGGGGCUGGUAAUUGGAAUGAGAACGAGUUAAACUUUCUAUCGAGGAUCCAUUG